rnacentral:rRNA from 1 species
CCUACGGGUGGCAGCAGUGGGGAAUAUUGCACAAUGGGGGCAACCCUGAUGCAGCGACGCCGCGUGAGUGAAGAAGGAUUUCGGUAUGUAAAGCUCUAUCUGCAGGGAAGAAAAUGACGGUACCUGUUUAAGAAGCCCCGGCUAACUCCGUGCCAGCAGCCGCGGGAAUACGCAGGGGGCAAGCGUUAUCCGGAUUUACUGGGUGUAAAGGGAGCGUAGACGGCAGCACAAGUCUGGAGUGAAAUGCCGGGGCUUAACCCCGGAACUGCUUUGGAGACUGUGCAGCUAGAGUGCAGGAGAGGUAAGUGGAAUUCCUGGUGUAGCGGUGAAAUGCGUAGAUAUUAGGAGGAACACCAGUGGCGAAGGCAGCUUACUGGACUGUAACUGACGUUGAGGCUCGAAAGCGUGGGGAGCAAACAGGAUUAGAUACCCGUGUAGUC